AGAGAGAACACCUGCAUGUUUGGACAGCACCAUUCAUUUCAACAGAAAGGACACAGAAUACCAUGUUCUCUGCCAUUUUCAAAUGAAGGUGAUUUGCUGUUACCAAUUUUCUUGUUGACAAUCCCCUGAAAAGCUUUUAAGGACCACUUCAAAGUGACUAACAGAUUUGAAAAGUGUUGAACAGAGCUGUGGAAUUUCAGCACCUGACUCAGAAACAAAAGCACUUUGCAGUUUGACAACUAUCCUCUAUUUGAAGGUGUCCUAUGUUUGAAGGGCUGUUCACGUCUAGUUUAAAGAUUUAAAAUACCCCUAAGAAUAGAGACCUUGAAGUUGCCCACUGAAGUUGACAGCAGACUGAACAAGCACACAUCAUCUGGUCACAGUCUUCCC